UACAGAGGGUGCGAGCGUUACUCGGAAUUACUGGGCGUAAAGGGUGCGUAGGUGGUUAAAUAAGUUAGGUGUGAAAUUCCCGGGCUUAACCUGGGGACUGCGCCUAAUACUGUUUAGCUAGAGUAUUGUAGAGGAAAGUGGAAUUUCCGGUGUAGCGGUGAAAUGCGUAGAUAUCGGAAGGAACAUCAGUGGCGAAGGCGACUUUCUGGACAAAUACUGACACUGAGGCACGAAAGCAUGGGGAGCAAACAGG
rnacentral:rRNA from 1 species